UUGGCUUCGUGUUUUCUCUUGAAUAGCAUACAUUGAAUCAAAUUUAGUUUGUGUAUGUUGUUUAAUGGAGCCAAAUAUCAAAUGUUCCCCUCGCUAUCCAGUGUCUACUUUUUAUGUUGCAUUUGGACGUUGGGAAACUACAUCU